CCAGAAGGGGCUGGAGGCUCUCCCUCUCAACAGUUUAACCUUUGACUGUGUGAUUGAAUUACGGAGCUUUUAUCAAGGUUUUGCCUCUCCUGAAACAACGCUCCAUGUGUAACCUGUCCCUCCCCGAGCCGGACUGCAGGAUGAUUUUUCCUUCAACACACUGGUCCCGCCCACUGGCCUAUGGCAGAAGCCAGAAAAAGCGACGAUAAGAAAGGGAGGCCCCAUCAGGGGACUUAGAGGCAGUGUUUCUGUUAUCUGCUUAGAUCCCAAGAAUGGUCAGGAAGAAACUGAAAGCUGGAAUUCAUAACCAUUCCCUUACUCAAGUCCUUACAGGCUCUGCAGUAUACCCAGAGAGCCACCCAUAAGCUUGUUCGUGAUGCUCUGCCAGUGCCCACUGCGGACCCUGUACAUCCCUUCCAGCCCAAGAACUCGGUAUGGGUAAAGAAGGUCACUGCCCAAGGACUCACCCCAACCUGGGAGGGAUGCUACACUGUUAUCCUGAGCACGCCCACGGCUGUUGAAGUAGAUGGCGUCCAGACCUGGCUACACAACUCCCAGCUCCUGCACCAGGAAACGGCCUGGAUCCUGGCAACCAGCGGCCUCACCCGUGAGAUCCCUAGCCUAGGCUCCACGCAGGCCAGGAGGAAUCUCGACACCUGCAGGAGAGGAACUAGAAUUCGCUGUGGACAGUACUGUUGGGGACUGUAGUACUAAAGGCCUUAGCCAGAAGUAAGAGACAAAGUAGAAAUGCAAACCGUCUCAUGAUUGAGCCGGGUGUCCCAAGACAAGGGGGGAAUGAAAGGGCAGAGCAGGACAGCACAAAAUGUACUGUACCCUCCAUCCUGUGUAACUAUGUAUCAGACUCCUUUUUCUUAGAAAACCGCGAGAAUGUAACAAUUGCAUGAACCUGCCAAUAGGAAUGUAGAGAAGUAGAUUCAGUCCAAAUUAGGCAAUCUCUGUAACCCACGUCACUUCCCUAAGCCCACCCAAAUGUCCAACCCUUUAUAAUUCAUCACUCCCCCGGAGUUCGCUCUCUGGCCCCACUGCUGCGUCAGGAGGAGGCUGGGAGCCAAACCCGGGUUUGAAUAAAGACUCUUUGCUUUUGCAUCGGAGAAAAGGCUCCCUAGUGGUUGAUUAUUGGGGACCC